rnacentral:rRNA from 1 species
GACGAACGCUGGCGGCGUGCUUAACACAUGCAAGUCGUACGGUAAGGCCCUUUCGGGGGUACACGAGUGGCGAACGGGUGAGUAACACGUGAGUAACCUGCCCACAACUUUGGGAUAACGCUAGGAAACUGGUGCUAAUACUGGAUAUGUGCUCCUGCUGCAUGGUGGGGGUUGGAAAGCUCCGGCGGUUGUGGAUGGACUCGCGGCCUAUCAGCUUGUUGGUGGGGUAGUGGCCUACCAAGGCGGCGACGGGUAGCCGGCCUGAGAGGGUGACCGGCCACAUGGGGGCGGAGAUAAGGCCAGAGCCCCUACGGGGGGAGGCAGUGGGGAAUAUUGAAAAAUGGGCGGAGGCCGGAUGCAGCAACGCCGCGUGGGGGAUGACGGCCUUCGGGUUGUAAACCGCUUUCAGCAGGGGCGAAGCUUUUUGGGGCGGUACCGGGAAAAAAAGCACCGGCUAACUACGG